CGAUUGUGGUUAUUGGAGCGGC
rnacentral:siRNA from 1 species